UGAGCUUUACACCUGUUGUCAUGA
rnacentral:miRNA from 1 species